rnacentral:rRNA from 1 species
UGGGGAAUAUUGCACAAUGGGCGCAAGCCUGAUGCAGCCAUGCCGCGUGUGUGAAGAAGGCCUUCGGGUUGUAAAGCACUUUCAGCGGGGAGGAAGGCGAUAAGGUUAAUAACCUCAUCGAUUGACGUUACCCGCAGAAGAAGCACCGGCUAACUCCGUGCCAGCAGCCGCGGUAAUACGGAGGGUGCAAGCGUUAAUCGGAAUUACUGGGCGUAAAGCGCACGCAGGCGGUCUGUCAAGUCGGAUGUGAAAUCCCCGGGCUCAACCUGGGAACUGCAUUCGAAACUGGCAGGCUAGAGUCUUGUAGAGGGGGGUAGAAUUCCAGGUGUAGCGGUGAAAUGCGUAGGGAUCUGGAGGAAUACCGGUGGCGAAGGCGGCCCCCUGGACGAAGACUGACGCUCAGGUGCGAAAGCGUGGGGAGCAAACAGG